rnacentral:tRNA from 1 species
GCUCCUGUAGCUUAGUCGGUAGAGCGUGGUGCUAAUAACGCCAAGGUCACAGGUUCGAUCCCUGUCGGGAGCA